rnacentral:rRNA from 1 species
UACGUAGGUGGCAAGCGUUAUCCGGAAUUACUGGGUGUAAAGGGUGAGUAGGCGGCAUGGUAAGCCAGAUGUGAAAGCCUUGGGCUUAACCCGAGGAUUGCAUUUGGAACUAUCAAGCUAGAGUACAGGGGAGGAAAGCGGAAUUCCUAGUGUAGCGGUGAAAUGCGUAGAUAUUAGGAAGAACACCAGUGGCGAAGGCGGCUUUCUGGACUGAAACUGACGCUGAGGCACGAAAGCGUGGGGAGCGAACAGG